rnacentral:rRNA from 1 species
GAUGAACGCUGGCGGCGUGCCCAAUACAUGCAAGUCGAGCGAACAGAUGAGGAGCUUGCUCCUCUGACGUUAGCGGCGGACGGGUGAGUAACACGUGGAUAACCUACCUAUAAGACUGGGAUAACUUCGGGAAACCGGAGCUAAUACCGGAUAAUAUAUUGAACCGCAUGGUUCAAUAGUGAAAGACGGUUUUGCUGUCACUUAUAGAUGGAUCCGCGCCGCAUUAGCUAGUUGGUAAGGUAACGGCUUACCAAGGCAACGAUGCGUAGCCGACCUGAGAGGGUGACGGGGCACACGGGAACUGAGACACGGUACGGGCUCCUACGGGAGGCACCAGUAGGGAAUUGUCCGCAAUGGGCGAAAGCCUGACGGAGCAACGCCGCGUGAGUGAUGAAGGUCUUCGGAUCGUAAAACUCUGUUAUUAGGGAAGAACAAAUGUGUAAGUAACUAUGCACGUCUUGACGGUACCUAAUCAGAAAGCCACGGCUAACUACGUG